CUUGUAUUGUUCUUGGACCAUCCUGUCACCUCUCAUGCCAGCGCCACUAUGACUGUUCAUGCCACAACCACCUUGCUGACCAGAUGUUACAGGAAUUUGUGUCAGCGCAUCACCAGCAAAUUAUCAAGUGCCACUAUUUUCGCUGCAUCCUCCGCUGCCCAUUCUGGACGAUUCAGCGUUCAGUCCAGCAGCAUAGAACGGUGACAGAAAAGAAGCCUGCCCAGUACUGUUACAAUAGGAAAACAACAAAGGUGCUUUAGAAUCUGGAAGUUAUGAUAUUCCUUUUCAAUGUUUUGAAUUCCAGAUACAAAGCCGCCGGUAAAAAUAAAUUUUUUUGACAAAUUUUCUUCACUCAAUUAGUAGCAUGUCUGUGCUGUAUUUCGUUGUAUUUUCAUGGGAAAAUAAAAUCCGAUUUUAGUGAGUACGAAA